rnacentral:tRNA from 1 species
GAUUCCAUGGCACAAUAGAUAAGGUGCUAGUUUACAGAACCAGAUAUUCUGGGUUCAAUCCCCUGUGGAGUCG